rnacentral:rRNA from 1 species
AUGUGUGGGGUCAUGCCCAAAUGUCUGUUAGUGGACACAAUUAUUAUGUCAGUUUCAUUGAUGCUUACAGUCGGUUUACUUGGCUUUAUCUUAUUAAUAAAAAGUCUGAUGUGUUUGAUGUUUUUCUACAGUUUCAAGCACACGUUGAGCGUCUCCUGA